UCUUUCCUGGUUGAUCCUGCCACUAGUCAUAUGCUUGUCUCAAAGACUAAGCCAUGCAAGUCUAAGUACAUGCCGUAUUAAGGUGAAACCGCGAAUGGCUCAUUAAAUCAGUUAUGGUUCCUUAGAUCGUACUUUUCUACUUGGAUAACUGUGGCAAUUCUAGAGCUAAUACAUGCAGCAGAGCUCCGACCUUCGGGGACGAGCGCUUUUAUUAGACCAAGACCAAUCGGACUCCGGUCCGUACGCCACGGCGACUCUGGAUAACUUUGGGCUGAUCGCACGAUCUCGCAUCGGCGAUAUUUCUUUCAAGUGUCUGACUUAUCAACUUUCGAUGGUAGUCUAUGCGCCUACCAUGGUCGUAACGGGUAACGGGGAAUCAGGGUUCGAUUCCGGAGAGGGAGCCUGAGAAACGGCUACCACAUCCAAGGAAGGCAGCAGGCGCGCAAAUUACCCACUCCCGGCACGGGGAGGUAGUGACGAAAAAUAACAAUACGGGACUCUCUUGAGGCCCCGUAAUUGGAAUGAGUACACUCUAA
rnacentral:rRNA from 1 species